rnacentral:rRNA from 1 species
CAGUAGCCACGGUAAUACGAAGGGGGCUAGCGUUGCUCGGAAUCACUGGGCGUAAAGGGUGCGUAGGCGGGUCUUUAAGUCAGAGGUGAAAUCCUGGAGCUCAACUCCAGAACUGCCUUUGAUACUGAGGAUCUUGAGUUCGGGAGAGGUGAGUGGAACUGCGAGUGUAGAGGUGAAAUUCGUAGAUAUUCGCAAGAACACCAGUGGCGAAGGCGGCUCACUGGCCCGAUACUGACGCUGAGGCACGAAAGCGUGGGGAGCAAACAGGAUUAGAUACCCCUGUAGUCCCUGUCUCUUAUAC